rnacentral:rRNA from 1 species
UAAGGUCACGGCAAGACUAGCCGUUUAUUAUUACGAUAGGUGCUAAGUGGAAGUGCAGUAAUGUAUGUAGCUGAGGCAUCCUAACAGACCGAGAGAUUUGAAC